CGGUUUGUCGCGUCUGCUGUGAAAUCCCGAGGCUCAACCUCGGGUCUGCAGUGGGUACGGGCAGACUAGAGUGCGGUAGGGGAGAUUGGAAUUCCUGGUGUAGCGGUGGAAUGCGCAGAUAUCAGGAGGAACACCGAUGGCGAAGGCAGAUCUCUGGGCCGUAACUGACGCUGAGGAGCGAAAGCAUGGGGAGCGAACAGGAUUAGAUACCCUGGUAGUCCAUGCCGUAAACGUUGGGAACUAGAUGUGGGGACCAUUCCACGGUCUCCGUGUCGCAGCUAACGCAUUAAGUUCCCCGCCUGGGGAGUACGGCCGCAAGGCUAAAACUCAAAGGAAUUGACGGGGGCCCGCACAAGCGGCGGAGCAUGCGGAUUAAUUCGAUGCAACGCGAAGAACCUUACCAAGGCUUGACAUAUACCGGAAACAUGCAGAGAUGUGUGCCCCGCAAGGUCGGUAUACAGGUGGUGCAUGGUUGUCGUCAGCUCGUGUCGUGAGAUGUUGGGUUAAGUCCCGCAACGAGCGCAACCCUCGUUCUAUGUUGCCAGCACGUAAUGGUGGGAACUCAUAGGAGACUGCCGGGGUCAACUCGGAGGAAGGUGGGGAUGACGUCAAAUCAUCAUGCCCCUUAUGUCUUGGGCUUCACGCAUGCUACAAUGGCCGGUACAAAGGGCUGCGAUACCGUAAGGUGGAGCGAA
rnacentral:rRNA from 1 species